ACGAUUGGCUUAGCUUCCCUUGACAAAUAAAUCUUUUGCCUUUUACUAAAGAUUUCCAUGAUGCCGAGCACUCUAAUGAUUCUAUAAUCAAUUUUUUAUAUAAAUAUUUUUCAAUUUUUUG
rfam:Glossina palpalis gambiensis isolate 146720 unplaced genomic scaffold Scaffold44, whole genome shotgun sequence.